GAACGGGCAAGGAGCCGGGGUCGCCCGAUCGGACCCCGGACGUGAAGUCGACGAUGGUCGGUGGGCUGGUUUUGGUAAGCAGAACGGGCGAUUCGGGAUGAACCGGAAGCGGGGAGAAAGGGCCCGAGAUUGCGUCGACGCGGAUCCCGAAAAGGGCGUCGAUCCGUCGCGACAGCGGGACGGUGGUCAUGGAAGUCGAAAUCCGCUAAGAAGCGUGUAAAAACGUACCCGCCCAACGGAUCGGCCCCGAAAAUUGAUGGCGCUCGAACGCAACCCUCGAACCCCGCCGACGGAGGCUAGGGGAGGCCCCGUCGAGUAGGCGGACGCGCGGGUCGCUUCGACGCUCUCGCGCGAGCGGGGGCGGAGCGGCCCGUGGUGCAGAUCUUGGUGGUAGUAGCGAUCACCCAGGCGAGAACCCUGAGGGCCGAAGUGGAGAAGGGUUUCUCGAGAACGGCACUCGCUCGAGAGUUAGUCGAUCCUAAGCUGCCGGCGGCAGCCACGAAACGGUCGAUCGGGCGCGAGCCCGGCAGCCACGACCGGGCAGCGAAAGGGAAUUGGGAACCUCCU
rnacentral:rRNA from 1 species